GACGAACGCUGGCGGCGUGCUUAACACAUGCAAGUCGAACGGAAAGGCCCUGCUUUUGUGGGGUGCUCGAGUGGCGAACGGGUGAGUAACACGUGAGUAACCUGCCCUUGACUUUGGGAUAACUUCGGGAAACUGGGGCUAAUACCGGAUAGGAGCUCCUGCUGCAUGGUGGGGGUUGGAAAGUUUCGGCGGUUGGGGAUGGACUCGCGGCUUAUCGGCUUGUUGGUGGGGUAGUGGCUUACCAAGGCUUUGACGGGUAGCCGGCCUGAGAGGGUGACCGGCCACAUUGGGACUGAGAUACGGCCCAGACUCCUACGGGAGGCAGCAGUGGGGAAUAUUGCACAAUGGGCGGAAGCCUGAUGCAGCAACGCCGCGUGCGGGAUGACGGCCUUCGGGUUGUAAACCGCUUUCGCCUGUGACGAAGCGUGAGUGACGGUAAUGGGUAAAGAAGCACCGGCUAACUACGUG
rnacentral:rRNA from 1 species